AACACCCGUUGGGAGAGGGGCCUGGAGCAGCACCACCUGUGUGGUGCAAUGGUGUUGCGUGGAAGUUUCAUGUAGGCUGAGUUUUGAGUGGAUGCACGACUGUAUGAGUGUACGAGUGGGCCAUGCAAGGUGAGUGUGUGCCCCAUCCCUGAGCCCUUGCCCUCCCCCACACUUUGAUAGUAUUUGAUCAAGGUGUGACCCUACCCCUGAGGAGCUGACCUGAGAUGAAAAGCUUCCCUCCCAAGAAGUCCCCUCCUCUGUGCA